GGGUGGCUAGCUCAGUUGGUAGAGCAACGGACUCUUAAUCCGUGGGUCCAGGGUUCGAGCCCCUGGCCACCCACCA
rnacentral:tRNA from 3 species